CCCCACAUGUCAAGAUCUCCGAGGGCGACUUCGGACACAUCCUUGACGACGUGCCCCACCUCGCUGACUACUACGUUCCGAUAUGGAGUAUUGGUUCUCCUGAUCCUAACUUCACAUUAGAUGGCCACUCAAAAGGUGUGAACCGUGUUGAUUACUUCACCGGUGGUGAUCGACCAUUUUUUAUUACUGGAUCUGAUGAUCAGACUGCAAAGGUUUGAGAUUACCAAACCAAGAGAUGUGUUCAAACACUUGAAGGACAUGCACACAAUGUGUCUGCUGUCUGUUUCCAUCUAGAACUACCUAUUAUAAUUACUGGC